rnacentral:rRNA from 1 species
GACGAACGCUGGCGGCGUGCUUAACACAUGCAAGUCGAACGGAAAGGCCCUGCUUUUGUGGGGUGCUCGAGUGGCGAACGGGUGAGUAACACGUGAGUAACCUGCCCUUGACUUUGGGAUAACUUCAGGAAACUGGGGCUAAUAACGGAUAGGAGCUCCUGCUGCAUGGUGGGGGUUGGAAAGUUUCGGCGGUUGGGGAUGGACUCGCGGCUUAUCAGCUUGUUGGUGGGGUAGUGGCUUACCAAGGUUUUGACGGGUAGCCGGCCUGAGAGGGUGACCGGCCACAUUGGGACUGAGAUACGGCCCAGACUCCUACGGGAGGCAGCAGUGGGGAAUAUUGCACAAUGGGCGGAAGCCUGAUGCAGCAACGCCGCGUGCGGGAUGACGGCCUUCGGGUUGCAAACCGCUUUCGCCUGUGACGAAGCGUGAGUGACGGUAAUGGGUAAAGAAGCACCGGCUAACUACGUG